GACGAACGCUGGCGGCGUGCUUAACACAUGCAAGUCGAACGGGCCCGCUCUCUUUUUUGGGGGUGGGUUGAGUGGCGAACGGGUGAGUAUCACGUGAGUAACCUGCCCCCUGCUCCUGGAUAACUGCUUGAAAGGGCGGCUAAUACGGGGUGUGCCGGCUGGUCCGCAUGGGCCUGGUCGGGAUAGUUUCAUCUUCGGGUGUUUCGGUGGGGGAUGGGCUCGCGGCCUAUCAGCUUGUUGGUGGGGUGAUGGCCCACCAAGGCGGUGACGGGUAGCCGGCCUGAGAGGGUGGGCGGCCACACUGGGACUGAGACACGGCCCAGACUCCUGCGGGAGGCAGCAGUGGGGGGUAUUGCACAAUGGGCGGAAGCCGGAUGCAGCGACGUCGCGUGAGGGAUGGAGGCCUUCGGGUGGUGAACCUCUUUCUCCGGUGGUGAAGGCCCUGUCCGUUGCGGCGGGGUUGACGGUAGCCGGGUAUGAAGCGCCGGCUAACUACGUG
rnacentral:rRNA from 1 species